GCAGCAGCCGCGGGAAUACGUAGGGUGCAAGCGUUAAUCGGAAUUACUGGGCGUAAAGCGUGCGCAGGCGGUUAUAUAAGACAGAUGUGAAAUCCCCGGGCUCAACCUGGGAACUGCAUUUGUGACUGUAUAGCUAGAGUACGGCAGAGGGGGAUGGAAUUCCGCGUGUAGCAGUGAAAUGCGUAGAUAUGCGGAGGAACACCGAUGGCGAAGGCAAUCCCCUGGGCCUGUACUGACGCUCAUGCACGAAAGCGUGGGGAGCAAACAGGAUUAGAUACCCCAGUAGUCCCUGUCUCUUAUAC
rnacentral:rRNA from 1 species